UACGUAGGUGACAAGCGUUGUCCGGAUUUACUGGGCGUAAAGAGCGCGCAGGCGGUCGUUCAAGUCGAGUGUGAAAGCCCCCGGCUCAACUGGGGAGGGUCAUUCGAUACUGAUCGACUCGAAGGCAGGAGAGGGAAGUGGAAUUCCCGGUGUAGUGGUGAAAUGCGUAGAUAUCUGGAGGAACACCGGUGGCGAAGGCGGCAUCCUGGACCGAUACUGACGCUGAGGAGCGAAAAGCCAGGGGAGCAAACGGG
rnacentral:rRNA from 1 species